rnacentral:misc_RNA from 1 species
ACUUCAUCAGGUCUUGGGUAUUAUGUGCAGGCAUGGAUAUGGAAUUCCUAUAAAUGGAUGAAGUUGGUAAUUCGUUGUUCGAUUUCCUUCCAUCAUAGUUUUAUGACGGUUAACCCCAUUGUAGUAUUGUUGGAAUUUGGGAUUUUGAUGAAGCAGCAGAUGAUAGUCCAUUUUGUUCUUCUCCUUUUGCUUGUUCCCUCUUGUUUCUGAUAUUACAGGCUAAAAUCUCAAGUGAUGAAAGCAUUUCUAUGAUAUAGAAGAGUUAAUUCAAGCACGUGCGAACAACAUGUCUGCUUAUUGCCAAUAUAAUUCAAAUUGAG